UCCAGGGUAGCCUAGUGGACAUGGUAUUUGCCCGGUAAGCGGAACACUGUGGGUUCGAUUCCCAUCCCUGGAC
rnacentral:tRNA from 1 species